UACGGAGGGUGCAAGCGUUGCUCGGAAUUACUGGGCGUAAAGCGUACGCAGGCGGCACGAUGUGUCGGGUGUGAAAGCCCUGGGCUCAACCCAGGAACGGCAUCCGAAACUGUCGGGCUAGAGUUCGGGAGAGGGAAGUGGAAUUCCUGGUGUAGAGGUGAAAUUCGUUGAUAUCAGGAGGAACACCGGCGGCGAAAGCGGCUUCCUGGCCCGAUACUGACGCUCAUGUACGAAAGCGUGGGGAGCAAACAGG
rnacentral:rRNA from 1 species